GCCCCCAGUCACCAUAGCAGUCUGAGAGCACCCCAGCCCAGACGCUAAGCAGGGUCUGGCCUGGCUGGUGCUUAGAUGGGGGACCAUGUGGAAAGUCCAAGUCUGGAGGCU
ensembl:rRNA 5S_rRNA 5S ribosomal RNA